GUGCUUUCUUCGGCAACACAUACACUACAAUUGGAACGAUACAGAAGAUUAGCAUGACCCCUGUGCAAGGAUAAAUUAAACUCCAAACUUCAAUCUCAAUUCUGU